ACCCGCUGAACUUAAGCAUAUCAAUAAGCGGAGGAAAAGAAACCAACAGGGAUUGCCUCAGUAACGGCGAGUGAAGCGGCAACAGCUCAAAUUUGAAAUCUGGCUCCUCCGGGGUCCGAGUUGUAAUUUGCAGAGGAUGUUUCGGGCGAGGCACCGGUCUAAGUCCCUUGGAACGGGGCGUCAUAGAGGGUGAGAAUCCCGUAUGCGACCGGUGACCGAGCCCAUGUGAAACUCCUUCGACGAGUCGAGUUGUUUGGGAAUGCAGCUCAAAAUGGGUGGUAAAUUUCAUCUAAAGCUAAAUACCGGCCAGAGACCGAUAGCGCACAAGUAGAGUGAUCGAAAGAUGAAAAGCACUUUGGAAAGAGAGUCAAAAAGUACGUGAAAUUGUUGAAAGGGAAACGCUUG
rnacentral:rRNA from 1 species